UAACGCGUAUGCAACCUGCCCUAUACCGGGGGGCAGCCAGGUAAUACUGGAGUAAUACCCCGUGGUGUCGUGGGGUCGCAUGGCUUCACGAUGAUAGCCGUGAGGCGGUGUAGGAUGGGCAUGCGUGCCAUUAGCUAGACGGUGGGGUAACGGCCCACCGUGGCGACGAUGGCUAGGGGGCCUGAGAGGGUGACCCCCCACACUGGGACUGAGACACGGCCCAGACUCCUACGGGAGGCAGCAGUGAGGAAUAUUGGUCAAUGGAGGGAACUCUGAACCAGCCAUGCCGCGUGCCGGAUGACGGCCCUUCGGGUUGUAAACGGCUUUUGUACGCGAGGAAUAAGGGUCUCGUGAGGCUCGAUGCCCGUAGCGUACGAAUAAGGAUCGGCUAACUCCGUGCCAGCAGCCGCGGUAAUACGGAGGAUCCGAGCGUUAUCCGGAUUUACUGGGUUUAAAGGGUGCGUAGGCGGGCCUUCAAGUCUGAUGUGAAAUGGUAUGGCUUAACCAUGCUCUUGCGUUGGAAACUGUAGGUCUUGAAUGGGGUCGAGGAUGGCGGAAUGCGUGGUGUAGCGGUGAAAUGCUUAGAUAUCACGUGGAAGGCCGAUUGCGUAGGCAGCUGUCCAGACCCUGAUUGACGCUGAUGCACGAAAGCGUGGGGAUCGAACGGGAUUAGAUACCCCGGUAGUCCACGCCGUAAACGAUGAUAACUGGCUAUUGGUCCGUAUUGGGUCAGUGGCUGCGCGAAAGCAUUAAGUUAUCCACCUGGGGAGUACGGCCGCAAGGCUGAAACUCAAAGGAAUUGACGGGGGCCCGCACAAGCGGAGGAACAUGUGGUUUAAUUCGAUGAUACGCGAGGAACCUUACCUGGGCUCGAACGGCGGAGCGGCCGGUGUGAAAGCAUCGGGGCCUUCACGGGCGCUUCGUCGAGGUGCUGCAUGGUUGUCGUCAGCUCGUGCCGUGAGGUGUCGGGUUAAGUCCCAUAACGAGCGCAACCCCUGCCGCCAGUUGCCAGCGAGAGAGUUGGGGACUCUGGCGGGACUGCCGUCGCAAGGCGUGAGGAGGGUGGGGAUGACGUCAAAUCAGCACGGCCCUUAUGUCCAGGGCGACACACGUGUUACAAUGGUCGGUACAGCGGGUAGCCAUCCGGCGACGGAGCGCCAAUCCCGAAAGCCGAUCUCAGUUCGGAUCGGAGUCUGCAACCCGACUCCGUGAAGCUGGAUUCGCUAGUAAUCGCGCAUCAGCCACGGCGC
rnacentral:rRNA from 1 species